UACGUAGGGGGCAAGCGUUGUCCGGAUUUAUUGGGCGUAAAGAGCGUGUAGGCGGUCAGGUAGGUCCGUUGUGAAAACUCGAGGCUCAACCUCGAGACGCCGAUGGAAACCAUCUGACUAGAGUCCGGAAGAGGAGAGUGGAAUUCCUGGUGUAGCGGUGAAAUGCGCAGAUAUGCGGAGGAACACCGAUGGCGAAGGCGAUCCCCUGGACCGGUACUGACGCUCAUGCACGAAAGCGUGGGGAGCAAACAGG
rnacentral:rRNA from 1 species